AUGAUCAAGAUACAUACAAAAUGCCAUUACAAAACCCAUGCUAAAUUGUUUCUAAACCUUCAAAACAGUUCCAAAUGUGCUUCCAAAACAUAUCUCCACUUUUCUUGCUCUAUCCAUAAACUUUUGCCUUGUGCCAAACAUAGCCAAUACCUUGUCAUGGCAUACAAAUUCAGUUCGAUUACAGGCUAA